rnacentral:rRNA from 1 species
GAUGAACGCUAGCGGCAGGCCUAAUACAUGCAAGUCGAACGGUAAGGCCCUUUCGGGGGUACACGAGUGGCGGACGGGUGCGUAACGCGUAUGCAACAUACCUUCAAGCGGGGGAUAUGCCAGGGAAACUUGGUGCAACACCCCAUAGCAUUUCGGGACCGCAUGGUCUUGGGAUUAAAUAUUUAUAGCUUGGAGAUUGGCAUGCGUGACAUAGCUAGUUGGCGGGGUAACGGCCCACCAAGGCGACGAUGUCUAGCUGGUCUGAGAGGAUGAUCAGCCACACUGGGACUGAGACACGGCCCAGACUCCUACGGGAGGCAGCAGUAGGGAAUAUUGGACAAUGGGGGGAACCCUGAUCCAGCCAUGCCGCGUGAGGGAAGAAGGUCCUCUGGAUUGUAAACCUCUUUUGGCGGGGGACAAACCUGCACUAUACGUGCAGCUGAGGGUACCCGCAGAAUAAGCACCGGCUAACUCCGUGCCAGCAGCCGCGGUAAUACGGAGGGUGCAAGCGUUGUCCGGAUUUAUUGGGUUUAAAGGGUGCGUAGGCGGUCGAAUAAGUCAGCGGUGAAAUCCUCCGGCUCAACUGGAGAACUGCCGUUGAUACUGUUUGACUUGAGUUCGUCCGAGGUCGCUGGAAUGCGUGGUGUAGCGGUGAAAUGCAUAGAUAUCACGCAGAACACCGAUUGCGAAGGCAGGUGACUGGGACGCGACUGACGCUGAGGCACGAAAGUGUGGGGAGCAAACAGGAUUAGAUACCCUGGUAGUCCACACCGUAAACGAUGGAUACUAGGUGUCCGGCCUUUCGGGGCUGGGUGCCCAAAGGGAAACCGAUAAGUAUCCCACCUGGGGAGUACGUCCGCAAGGAUGAACUCAAAGGAAUUGACGGG